UCUCUGCGCGGAAAAUUUAACGGGGCUAAGAUACAAACCGAAGCUUAGGCUGCACGAAAGUGCGGGGUAGGGGAGCGUUGUGUAAGCGGAGAAACAGUAGCGUAAGCGGCUGUGGAGUUUACAGAAGUGAGAAUGCCGGAAUGAGUAGCGCGAAUGUGGUGAGAAUCCACAUGGCCGGAAACCUCAGGUUUUUGGAGGAAGGUUCGUCCGCUCCAAGUUAGGCGGGAGCUAAGGUGAGGCCGAAAGGCGUAGCCGAUGCACAGACGGUAGAGAUUCCGUCCCCACCGAAAGAUUUAAGCACAGGGACACUUUUUGAAGGUCGGAGCCAGGUGUUGGUUCUGGUAGUGAUCGAGGGAAAUAUAGUACCGAAGUCCGGCUGGAAGAGAGGCGAGAAAAGCUGUGUGUAUAUCUAAGGUGCCCGUACCGCAAACCGACACAGGUAGGUAGGAAGAAGAUUCUAAGGCCAACGGGAGAAGGGUUGUUAAGGAACUCGGCAAGUUGACCCCGUAACUUCGGAAUAAGGGGUGCUCAUGAAAGUGAGCCGCAGAGAAUAGGCCCAGGCAACUGUUUACCAAAAACACAGGUUUGUGCUAAAUCGAAAGAUGACGUAUACGAGCUGACGCCUGCCCGGUGCUGGAAGGUUAAAAGGAGAUGUGCAAGCAUUGAAUUGAAGCCCCAGUGAACGGCGGCCGUAACUAUAACGGUCCUAAGGUAGCGAAAUUCCUUGUCAGGUAAGUUCUGACCCGCAUGAAAGGCGUAAUGAUUUGGGCACUGUCUCAACAGCCCGCCCGGCGAAAUUGUAGUACCGGUGAAGAUGCCGGUUACCCGCGACAAGACGGAAAGACCCCAUGGAGCUUUACUGUAGCCUGAUAUUGGGUUUCGGUGUUGCAUGCACAGGAUAGAUGGGACGCUGGGAAAGAAGCGCUUUGGCGUUUCUGGAGCGGACGUUGGGAUACCAUCCUUGCGACAUUGGAAUUCUAACCUGCGCCUCUGAAUCGAGGCGGGGGACAUUGUCAGGUGGGCAGUUUGACUGGGGCGGUCGCCUCCUAAAAAGUAGCGGAGGCGUUCAAAGGUUCGUUCGAUCUGGACGGAAACCAGAUGAUUGAGUGCAAACGCAUAAACGAGCCUGACUGCGAGACUGACGGGUCGAGCAGAGACGAAAGUCGGAGUUAGUGAUCCGGUGGUAUGUGAGUGGAAAUGCCAUCGCUCAACGGAUAAAA
rnacentral:rRNA from 1 species